AGUUAUUGGGUAUUAAAACCUAAUAGCGAAAUUAACAUAACUUUAUAAUGGGAUUAGUUUUUAGAUUUUUAAUCUAUUAAUUCAAUCCCGGGGCGUUCUAUAUAGUUAUGUAUAAUAAUAUUUAUAUUAUUUAUACCUCUAACUAGAGCGUACCUUGAGCAUAUAUGCUGUGACCCGAAAGAUGGUGAACUAUACUUGAUCAGGUUGAAGUCAGGGGAAACCCUGAUGGAAGACCGAAACAGUUCUGACGUGCAAAUCGAUUGUCAGAAUUGAGUAUAGGGGCGAAAGACCAAUCGAACCAUCUAGUAGCUGGUUCCCUCCGAAGUUUCCCUCAGGAUAGCUGGUGCAUUUAAAUAUUAUGUAAAAUAAUCUUAUCUGGUAAAGCGAAUGAUUAGAGGCCUUAGGGUCGAAACGACCUUAACCUAUUCUCAAACUUUAAAUGGGUAAGAACCUCACCUUUCUUGGUAUGAAGGUUGUGGUUGUGAUAUAAUGUGCCCAGUGGGCCACUUUUGGUAAGCAGAACUGGCGCUGUGGGAUGAACCAAACGUAAUGUUACGGUGCCCAAAUUAACAACUCAUGCAGAUACCAUGAAAGGCGUUGGUUGCUUAAAACAGCA
rnacentral:rRNA from 1 species